rfam:Elusimicrobia bacterium RIFOXYD12_FTLL_66_9 rifoxyd3_full_scaffold_11330, whole genome shotgun sequence.
GGGACCGCGAGGUCCACGCUGAAAGAAGCGGAUAGCGAAGCCGUGAGCCGACGGACAGAAACCGUAUGAAGGCGCAGUCAGUCCAGAGCGAGUGGGCCUUCAACCACGAAGCUCUCUCAACCAAAAGACGGCGGCGUUGUACGCUUAAGCGGCGACGCUGAGGGCGGCGACCAU